UACGAGGGGGGCAAAUGUUGUUCGGAAUCACUGGGCGUAAAGGGAGCGUAGGCGGGUUUCUAAGUCAGGUGUUUAAUCCCGGGGCCCAACCCCGGACAGGCACUUGAAACUGGGAAUCUUGAAUAGUGGAGAGGUCAGUGGAAUUGGGGGUGUAGCGGUGGAAUGCGUAGAGAUCCCCAAGAACACCAGUUGCGAAGGCGGCUGACUGGACACAUAUUGACGCUGAGGCUCGAAAGCAUGGGGAGCAACAGG
rnacentral:rRNA from 1 species